CUGUUCGAGAAGAAUAUCAAGCUGGUCGAAAAGUCGUUUUCGUCCUUUCUUUUCUCAGUGCUGGAUUUGACUGGAAAGACGAGAGAAGAAAGAAAAGAGGGAUAGAAGAGAAAAGAAAGAUGAACAGAAUAGAGGAAAGGAGAAGAUCUCGGCGACAAUAGAUCGGUUGCAAGAGGAAGAUUGAAAAAUCGUUCUAAAUAUUGUUGACUGGAAUAUCUACGGAAGAAGAAUAGGGAUUCAAAUCGUUGUAAGUAUUGUUCGCUGCAAUAUUUGGGUGUUUUUGCUGUGUUGUUUGGAGCAAGGUUGAAAAGGGAGAGAAAGAAUAAUGAGUAGAGGAAGGGAGAUACGUGUUAUCGUUCAUCUAUCCAUAAAAGUUAAUUGUUGGAGGUGGAGGAGUUAGGUGGUAAUAAUUAGACGCUUUCUGAAGUUGGUGGUUGAAUUUCAUCCCUCUUUGUCUCCAUGCAUCAAGUUUAAAACAGAAUAGCAACUAAAGUGUCAAAGCUGCAGAGUUUAAAAUAAAGGUUGCAAAUCAGAGUUUCUUUGUGAAGUGUGAGGCAUUCCAGUCCACAAAAGACCGGAGUUUCUUUGUGAAAAUUCAUUUGGUUUGCAUAUUAAUUUCGCAUUCCAGUCCAGUCACAUUCCAGUCCAGUUGCAAACCAGAGUUUCUUUAUUUGCUGACCAACUCCGUUUGUGCACGUUUAAAACACACCAGCAGCUAAAGUGUCAAAGCUCUAGAAUUUAAAAUCAAGGCCCCAUUUCAUUCUGAUAUGGAGAUAUCUAUACCUGAGAAGCCAUGUUCGAAAACCAAGUGUUUUCUCUUCCAUUGCCUAUAGAUGAGGUCUGCGAUUUUAAUCUUUGACAUUACAAAAGCAAUACAGCAGAUGGAUAUGCAGAAGGUGAGGCAGCGCUGGGACUCUAUGUAGAGCCUAGGCCACUGGUUUCCAUUUAAAACCUAAAAACCCAGAAAGCAAAAGUAGUCUGCAACCCAGAGAAUAGCUUGGUCGGAAUUGUCCCUCCAACUGUCCGCUUCAUGUGCCAGCUACUGAAGCACUCUCUCUCAAAUCUGAACUCUCAAUACUGCAGAAGAGGGAAGAAGGGUAAGAGGAAACGAAAGGAGACGGAGAUAUUGAGGAGGUUUUGAUCUGGGUUCUGCUGACGGGAGGAACGAAGAUGCAGAGGAGAGAAAGGAAAAGAAGAUGAAGAGGGAGAGCCUUCAGCAAUUAGAUACGCACUAAUCGAAAUUCCAAGGGAUGAGAAGAGAUGAGUUUUGCAGCAGAAUCUCAGCCAAAACAGGGAAUGCCCUGAGAAAUGUAAGGAAGCUGUUGCAUUACUGAUGGUUGUUGUAGCUAGAUUUUCUGAUUUACCAGUACAUACGUACAUUGUCUGACAUUAGGCAACUAUUUCAAGAGAGAUAUGCAAACUCUCUGGCUUAUUGUGUGGAUCAAAAGAUUCAAAAAGGUUUAGGUAUGCAAGGGAUACAUCAUUCGGAAAGAGUCAUUUGAACUUCUGGAGCCAGCCAUCAGUUUUCCUUUGCAUUGCGUGCUUCUUCAGACAGUUUUUCAGGCAGUUACUAUGAGUACCUGACUCUGAGGCAUGGUUUUAUCUCGGCACAUUUAGCACAUGAGAUCAUUUAUUCUCAUGCUAAUGGGUGAGACAAGUGGAUUUGGCAAAGAUCUUCGUUGUACUUUACGAUUUUCUGAGGAGGUGAAACUGGUCACCCGAGACCAUAGGAAGAAGGCAUAGAUGGAUGGGGAGAUAUGAAGCUCAUUUAUGGAACAAAGGGUCUUGGAACCCAACACAAAGGAAGAAGGGAAACCAGCUAAGUACUUAAUUACUAGCUAGACUGCUCAAAACCACUUAAUUGUCAGAUAAACAUAUCUUCAAUCAUCUAACGCAAAAUGUAUAUGCAGGGGCUUUAUGACGAAGAAGAAUCCACAGAAAAAGCAUAUGAGUUGGCAGCACUCAAGUAGCGGGGAGCAUCAACUUUUACAAAUUUUCCGGUGUAGGAUUAUGAGAAUGAAAUUGAUCUGUUGAACACUAACAAAAAGAAGAGUACUUGGCCUCUCAAAGAAGCUAUUUAUUCAUCUUCAAAUUAAUAAGCAGUUGAGCAGCCUACCUUAACUGUUGUAAAUAUUUCAAGAGAUGAAUUUGAUCUAUCUAUUUACUAAUUAUUUGAUA